rnacentral:rRNA from 1 species
CACGUAGGGUGCGAGCGUUGUCCGGAAUUAUUGGGCGUAAAGAGCUCGUAGGCGGUUUGUCGCGUCUGCCGUGAAAGUCCGGGGCUCAACUCCGGAUCUGCGGUGGGUACGGGCAGACUAGAGUGCAGUAGGGGAGACUGGAAUUCCUGGUGUAGCGGUGAAAUGCGCAGAUAUCAGGAGGAACACCGAUGGCGAAGGCAGGUCUCUGGGCUGUAACUGACGCUGAGGAGCGAAAGCGUGGGGAGCGAACAGG